AUUUAUAUAGUUUAAUUAAAACAAUAAAUUUUCUCUUUAUAAAUUUCUAUUAGAUUAGAAUAUAGGUU
rnacentral:tRNA from 1 species